AUGGAUGCAGAAGAAAAGGAAUGGAAUGUGCCACUGAUUCGCCAGAUUUUUCAUGAGUUUGACGCUGACGAAAUAUGCAAAAUCCCCAUCCCAAGAACAGAGGCAAAAGAUUGUAUCGCAUGGCACUAUGAGAAGAAUGAAAUUUUUUCGAUUAGGAGUGCUUACAGACUGGCUGCCUCCACUCUCCAGACACAACAAGCACGUCCUUCAAGCUCAACACGAGAUGCACAUGACCGUAGCAUUUGGGACCUUAUUUGGAAAGCGAAAGUACCGGGAAAAAUUCAGAUCUUUGCAUGGAGGAUAGCUACAAAUACCCUCGCCACAAAAAAGAACAAAUACAGGAGGACACUCGAGGUGGACUCAAUCUGUAAUAUCUAUGGCAAUGGUGAAGAGAACGAGUACCAUGCGGUAAUUUCCUGUACUAAGAGCAGAGCCCUCAGGGAAGCCAUGAGGAAAGAAUGACACCUCCCACCGGAGAAAUCAUUCAGAUACACCGGAACAGAGUGGCUGCAGAUGCUCCUUGACCCUGAAUCCGAAGAAAAUCGCGCUAACAUCCUAUUCCUUCUCUGGAGAUGUUGGCACUUGCGGGAAGACUGCAUCCGAAGCUCAGGAAAGGAGUCAAUCGUUGGCUCGGUACAAUUCUUGACUAUGUACUCAGAUGAGUUCCGAGGCGCGACAACAAUGAGGGAUAUAGAUAAAGAUGUGAGCUUGGGAGCUAGUAGUGGACAGGGUACGAGCCAGGCGCAGCCAAAAAUUCAGUGGUCUAGACCCCCCAUGGGAUCGGUCAAGUUGAAUACUGACGCCUCAUAUAUGGCAGAUUCAGGCGAGUCCGCUGCAGGAGCCGUUGGCAGAGACAGUAAAGGAAAUAUUCUCAUCUCUGUCAGCCAUAGGAUGUCGCCCUGCCGCAGCGUCGAGGAAGCAGAGGCGAAAGCUGCUCUACUUGGUCUUAACAAACUCUUGAGAGUUUAUAGAGGUCCUCCGAUUUUGGAACUAGACAGCCAAGUGAUUGCAAAUGCUCUGAAGCUGGGGACUGCUCUCGUUCCCCUUACUAUGCGCUGCUCAUUGACAUCAAGGGAGCUCUGA
rnacentral:rRNA from 1 species